GUGUGUGUGUGUGUGUGUGUGUGUGUGUGUGUGUGUGUGUGUGUGUGUGUGUGUGUGUGUGUGUGUGUGUGUGUGUGUGUGUAAGACCUGGGUUCAAAUAAUAUUAAGGGUAUGUGAAUUACUUUCAAAGACAUUUAGAAUAAUUGAGAUAUUUUGUAAUUGAUAAGACAAUUAGCUGAAAAUACUCAAACACUCCCAUGCAUUUAACCGAGGCAUAUGGAAAUCGUUUUUGAAAAAACUUGCAAAUAGUAGACUAUUUAUAGGAAAUCAUUCGAAAACACUUUCAAAUACUUUCAACAGAAAGUGAUUCAGGCAACGUUAUUAAAUACACAGAAAAUAAGUAUUUAAAUAACAAAUACACAUGUAUUUGAACCCAGGUUUGGUGUGUGUGACGUACCACUGACGAUGAGGUUGAGGUAAAAGACAGUGUGUGAGUGUGUGUGUGUGACGUACCACUGACGAUGAGGUUGAGGUAAAAGACAGUGUGUGAGUGUGUGUGUGUGACGUACCACUGACGAUGAGGUUGAGGUAAAAGACAGUGUGUGAGUGUGUGUGUGUGACGUACCACUGACGAUGAGGUUGAGGUAAAAGACAGUGUGUGAGUGUGUGUGUGUGACGUACCACUGACGAUGAGGUUGAGGUAAAAGACAGUGUGUGAGUGUGUGUGUGGGACGUACCACUGAUGAUGAG